AUAUAUAUAUAUAUACUAGUUUAGGGACCCGCGCGAUGCUGCGGGUAGUUAUAUUAAAAUUUAAUUUUAAAAAUUAGUUAUAAAAAUCAAUUUCAGAUUAAUUAUGAAAUAUUACGGAGAAAUUACAAAAUAAUUUUAAAUAAAUGCAGCUAUCUUCUCUAAUAUAGAAAAUAUAAGAAGCUCUCUCAAUAAUAAGAUAUUUUGAAAUAGUUCUUCAACUUUAUUAAAUAUUUUCUCAUCUUGUUCUCUUUAAUUUGAUUUGAUAUUACUAAUUUUGUAAGGUUAUCUAUAAUAUUUCUAAUAUUUUCAGAGAUACGAAUGAAAUUAUCACAUACUAAUUAUUUCAAACAUGACCGCAUGUCUGAGGGAUUGAAAAAUAAUAAAUGGUGCAAUAAAUACAUCAAAAAAUUUUAGUAGGCAUGGUAAUCCCCCAUUAGUUAGUGAAAUAAUUUUUAGUAGGUAUCGUAAUCCUCCAGUAGUUAGUGAAUGAGAAGAUAAAUCAUUGCUUAUGAUUCUCGCAAUUAACUUUCGUCAAAUAUAAAAUUAACUUAAGCUGCAUCAAUCUUUUGUUUUAUUGUUUAAUGUACAAUUUAUAUGUGAAUGCUCAAUAUUAUAAAAUUAACAUUUAUAUCAAAUACCAAUAGUCUAAAUUAUUUAAUAUUUAUUUAUAUAUUUUAUAUUUUAUAAAAAUAAAUAGUAAAUUAUAUAAUAAACUAUUAUAUAAUAAUAUAUCUAUAUAAAAAUAAAAUACUAUAUAUAAUAAAUAUAUAUAUAUUUAUAAAUAAAAUUAUAUGUAGUGUUCCGGAGGUUUGGAUAGGAUUGGCUACAUUAUGUGUUUGGUCGACACAUCUGGAGAGUGUCGGACUUAGUCGGAGUCAUUUCUGCGCGAAAUGGAUGCAGAAAUAAACUUGGCGCACUCAAUCAAGCAAAACUGGAGUUUUGCCAGAUUCGGGUGCCCAGAACUGGAUUU
rnacentral:lncRNA from 1 species